AAAAAGCGUUCAUAUGACAAGGAGGAUACCAGUUUGUGAACUCGCUCAACAAAUUUCAAUUCAGUUUGAGGCUUUGAACUUCUUCACGACACCACUGUUCCUCAACGGCCAAAUCGAGCUUUAGGUCGUGACUAAGUUCAUAAGAACGCAACUUUUGCACUGUAUGUUGGGGGAGGACUACAAAUGAAUAGCAGACAAAGAAUCCUCGGUGGAGGGGUUCAACAUGUAUUGGACUAUCUGAGACGAAUGCACUCCGAAAAUCCGGCAUUCUUCUAUGCUGUUCAAGAUGAUAACGGGUCUUCUAAUGGAAACAUUUUUUGGGCCGAUGCAACUGCCAGGAUGAACUAUCACUAUUUUGGGGACACUAUCAAAUUGGACACUUCCUAUCGAGCUAAUUGCUAUAGUGUACCUUUUGCCACUUUCACUGGCUUAAAUCAUCACGCCCAGCCUGUUCUCUUUGGCUGUGCUUUUCUUUUCAGCGAGUCUGAGACCUCACUUGUCUGGCUCCUCCAAACUUGGCUUCAAGCAAUGUCUGCACAGAAGCCUGUUUCCAUCACAACUGACACUGAUCAUCUCAUACAGAUGGCUAUUGCUCAUGUUCUGCUAGAAACGCGCCACCGUCUUUGUAAAUGGAGCAUACUUCGAGAUACCAAGGAGAAGCUGACCCAUGUAUGUCAAACACAUCCAACCUUUGAAAUUGAAUUUAUGAAGUGCAUCAAUGAAGCAGAGACACUUGAGGAGUUUGAAUCUCAGUGGAAGUCACUCCUAGAAAGAUAUUACCUCACGGAUAAUGAAUUCCUUCAAUCAAUUUAUAUUGCUCGCCACCACUGGGUUCCUGUUUUCAUGCGAGAGACAUUUUUUGGGGAUUUUUUAAGUGAUGAAGACAAUGAUGCCAAAAACACUUUCUUCGAUGGGUUUGUGAAUGCUUCUACCUCUAUCCAGUUAUUAAUUAAACACUAUGAAAAAGCCAUUACAAUCUGGCAUGAAAAGGAAUUUAAUGCAGACCUUGAUUCUAAUAAUACUACACCAAUUCUAAAGACACCAUCGCCUAUGGAAAAACAAGCAGCUGAUCUCUAUACGAGGAAGGUGUUCAUGAAAUUUCAACAAGAGCUGGUUGAGACCCUUGCAAAUCCUGCAACUAAAAUUGAUGACUCUGGAGCAAUCACAACAUAUCAUGUUGCAAAAUUUGGGGAAGAGCACAAGGCGCACACGGUUAGGUUCAACACACUUGAGUUGACAGCUAACUGUAGCUGUCUAAUGUUUGAAUUUUCAGGUAUAAUUUGUAGACAUGUGUUAUCUGUGUUCAGAGCCAAAAAUGUUCUUACGCUUCCUUCCCAAUACAUUUUGAAACGUUGGACAAGAAAUGCCAAGACUGGUGGUGGAGGCACUAUAGAGGAAAAUCCUUUAGAGUUACCUAGCAAUUCACAAGAGUCUUUAACUAUGCGUCAUAAUAGUUUGCGGCAGGAGGCUAUUAAAUUUGUUGAAGAAGGGGCUAAAUCUAUUCAUAGUUAUAAUGUCGCGAUGAAUGCUCUGAAAGAGGCUGCAAAAAAGGUUUCUGCUGCAAAGAAGAAAAACACCGACAAAACUCAGGUGACAAACAUGGUAAAUGGAUGCAAUCAAGGAGUGGAUGAAGGAGAUAUUGAUCAAGCAGAUUCAGGUCAAUCCAAGGGCACAUCAGGGGAAGAAGAAGGAAACGAAGAAGCCCAACAAGACCCAGUUGACAAGGAAAGUGCCAUGAUGAUUGCUGAAGAGCCAGCUUGGUAUCCACUAGAAGUUCAACCCUUGGACAAUAUGCAAAACACUGAAGGGAGGAAACUACUCGAUGGACAAUUGAAGAGGUUGAGCCUUUGAAUUCACACACCCAAGAGUCUAAGAAGGACCCUGACUUUGAUACACCUAUCUGGGUACACAAAACAUCAUCAAACUUGGCAAAGAAUUUGGGGUUGAUUUCCAAAGUUACAAAAAGGAGGCUUUAUAGAUUUUCAUGAAGAUUGAUCAAAAAAGGCAAAACACAUGGGUACUGCAGGAACAAUGGUGACACAACUCCUAAAAUCAAGGGGUCAAAAGAAUUGAAGAACCUGGACAUUGGGAGCAGUUUCAAAAGCAAUGGUGCCAGAUGCAGAGGGGGCUACCACAUCAAUCAAGAUCAAUGAAAGUCAACAUUGUCUCACGGAAUGUGAGGGGCUUGAACAAGGCAAGGAAGAGGAGACUGAUCAACAGCUGCAUUAAUACUUGGAAAGCAGAUGUCUAUUGCUUUUGGUAGAUCAAAAUUGAAGGAGAUAUCACAAGAUUGUGAAAGAUUUAUGGGCCAACAGAUGGUGCAGAUUUGCACAACUGGAGGCUACUGGUACCAGAGGAUGCAUUUUACUGAUGUCGGACAACAGAAAACUGGGUAUGGGAAGGUGAAACCACCAGCUUGGUUUCCACCUCUAUCACAUGAAGAGAAGGAACAAAAGAUUCGUGAAUUGACUGCCAAGUUGGAUUGCAUAAAUCAACGAUCUGAAGUUUAUCGUGCCAAU